UUACUUAUUUCAAAUUUAUUCGUUUUGUUUGUGUGUGUGUAACCAAAAGUCUUUAAUCAAUGACAAUAUAUCUUAAAGCUGUAGCCGUUCAAACGAUGUAUGUAUCGUUUUUGUUGAAUUGAUAGUAUGUCGUGUUCUACGAAGUAAUUACUUCCGCAGCAGAAUCACUGGGUGAAUUAUUCACCAAAUAUAAAGUCACAACAAAAAUAUCAUUUCUUUAACUUAAGUCGUAUUGUGAUUAAAUAAUUUUUCUUUUAUUUCAUAUUCGGCAUCACGUGGCGGCCACGCCGUUUCGAAAUUCAACAAUUUCUAACUAUUUUACAAUUCUUUUUUAUUAAAACAAUUUUUUUUUGUAUUAUCCAUAUAUCUCUUUGCCUAUUAUACAUAUAUAAAAUACCAACUUUAAUAUCCACUAUAGUAAUUCAACUUGAUAUUUUCAAAAUACUUCUCUCUGUAAUUAUACACGUCUGUUCACUUGCAGCUCAAAGUUAAAAAGAACGCUAACGUCAAAUUGACGUCACCACUAUACAUCUUAUCGACUACAUAUGAAUUUAUAAAGGAAAGCACUGCAACGGCCGAGAUUAAAACUUUCCACUAGAAUAACCGAAUUUAUGUAUAUUAC
rnacentral:lncRNA from 1 species